rnacentral:hammerhead_ribozyme from 1 species
GCACUGCCGACGAGUCCCAAAUAGGACGAAACAGCUGUCCAGUGC